rfam:Acidobacteria bacterium 13_1_40CM_4_65_8 13_1_40cm_4_scaffold_1307, whole genome shotgun sequence.
AGAUAAAGGUGGCCUAAGUCCUGCGCCACUCGCAGGACGCGGGGGACCCGAGCUUCAUGGGGCGUAUCGGCGCCGCGGCGCCGUAGGACACUUCCGAGUCCGAGCCCGUCAGCUAACCCCGCCGGCGUGUUGGAAGGUCCG